rnacentral:rRNA from 1 species
UACGUAGGGUGCAAGCGUUGUCCGGAAUCAUUGGGCGUAAAGCGCGCGUAGGUGGCUUCGUAAGUCCGUUGUGAAAGUCAAAGGCUCAACCUUUGAAUGCCGAUGGAUACUGCGGAGCUAGAGUACGGAAGAGGCGAGUGGAAUUCCCGGUGUAGCGGUGAAAUGCGCAGAUAUCGGGAAGAACACCCGUGGCGAAGGCGGCUCUCUGGGACGGUACUGACGCUGAGACGCGAAAGCGUGGGGAGCGAACAGG